CCAGAGAGAGAAGAACUGGAAGCAAAGAACUGGAAGCUCUUUCUCUUAUACCAGGUGCAAGGAAGAGCAGCAGAGUCAGGUGCGUGGCCGACGGACAGAGAUGGGACCACACUUCCCUGCUGUGAGUGAGGAUCCAAAUCUAAAAUGAGACAGAUUCUGGGUGUCUAAUUCCAAGUGAUGAAUCAAAGAAUCUGAGCUUGCUGCCAGCGGGGCCUACACGGCAGGGAGUGAUGGUGAGUACACUCAUUUGACUAGUAUAGACAAAGCCUGCAUAUAAUUGAGGAAGAUGGGGUG
rnacentral:lncRNA from 1 species